UACGUAGGUGGCAAGCGUUGUCCGGAAUUAUUGGGCGUAAAGCGCGCGCAGGCGGUUUCUUAAGUCUGAUGUGAAAGCCCACGGCUCAACCGUGGAGGGUCAUUGGAAACUGGGAGACUCGAGUGCAGAAGAGAAGAGCGGAAUUCCACGUGUAGCGGUGAAAUGCGUAGAGAUGUGGAGGAACACCAGUGGCGAAGGCGGCUCUUUGGUCUGUAACUGACGCUGAGGCGCGAAAGCGUGGGGAUCAAACAGG
rnacentral:rRNA from 1 species